UCAAGCUAAUAAGAGCGUAGGGUGGAUGCCUUGGUACCAAGAGCCGAAGAAAGACGUGGUAAGCUGCGAAAAGCCAUGGGGAGCUGCAAACAAGCAUUGAUCCAUGGAUAUCUGAAUGGGGAAACCCGGCGGUCGUUGAGGGCCGUCAUCGUAACAUGAAUACAUAGUGUUACGAAGGGAACCCGGUGAACUGAAACAUCUAAGUAGCCGGAGGAAGAGAAAGAAACAUCGAUUCCCAAAGUAGCGGCGAGCGAAAUGGGAAGAGCCUAAACCGAAUCUCUACGGAGAGUCGGGGUUACGGACCUGCGGAAUCGAGAUUACUCAUAGUCGAAUAGUAUUGGAAAGUGCAGCCGGAGAGGGUAAAAGCCCCGUAGGCGAAAUGAGGAAUCGAGAGGCGGGUAUCCAGAGUACCACAGGACACGAGGAAUCCGGUGGGAAGUCGGGGGGACCACCCCCCAAGGCUAAAUACUACUUGGUGACCGAUAGCGUAUAGUACCGUGAGGGAAAGGUGAAAAGAACCCCGGGAGGGGAGUGAAAGAGAACCUGAAACCCUAUGUUUACAAGCAGUGGGAGCGAAAGCGACCAUGUACUUUUUGUAGAACGGGCCGGCGAGUUACUGUGUGUAGCGAGGUUAAGGUGUAGAGCACCGGAGCCGUAGCGAGAGCGAGUCUCAAAUGGGCGAAUAGUUGCAUACAGUAGACCCGAAACCGGGUGACCUAUCCAUGGACAGGAUGAAGCGGUGGUAAAGCACCGUGGAGGUCCGAACCACACGUAUGUUGAAAAAUGCGGGGAUGAGCUGUGGAUAGCGGAGAAAUUCCAAUCGAACUCGGAGAUAGCUGGUUCUCCCCGAAAUAGCUUUAGGGCUAGCCUCGAUUUAGAUUAUUGGGGGUAGAGCACUGAAUGGGCUAGGGGGCCACAAAGCUUACUGAACCCUAUCAAACUGCGAAUACCAAUUAAUUGAUGAUCGGGAGUCAGACAGUGAGAGAUAAGUUCCAUUGUCGAAAGGGAAACAGCCCAGAUCCACGACUAAGGUCCCAAAAUACACGUUAAGUGGAAAAGGAUGUGCAGUUGCACAGACAACCAGGAUGUUGGCUUAGAAGCAGCCACUCAUUCAAAGAGUGCGUAAUAGCUCACUGGUCGAGUGAAUGUGCGCCGAAAAUAUACCGGGGCUAAACGUGAUACCGAAGUCUGGGGAUCAAGAAAUUGAUCGGUAGGGGAGCAACGCAUACGGACAGAAGCAGAAGCGGGAGCGACUGUGGACUGUAUGGGAGAGAGAAUGCCGGCAUGAGUAGCGAGAGCAAAGUGAGAAUCUUUGCCGUCGAAAGCCUAAGGUUUCCUGAGGAAGGCUCGUCCUCUCAGGGUAAGUCGGGACCUAAGCCGAGGACAAGAGUCGUAGGCGAUGGAUAACAGGUUGAUAUUCCUGUACCGUACUUAAGCGUUUGACUGAAGCAGUGACACAGAAGGAUAGACAGACCGAGUGAAUGGAAGAACUCGGCCAAGCAGUGAGGCUGACAUGUAGUGAAGUACGCAUGUUAAGGCUGGGCUGUGAUGGGGACUGAAGAUUAGUAAGGAAGCUGUUGAAUUCACACUGGCGAGAAAAGCUGCUAAGGAGCGAGAGUAUGCCCGUACCGCAAACCGACACAGGUAGGCGAGGAGAGAAUCCUAAGACGAGCGGGAGAACCCUUGUUAAGGAACUCGGCAAAAUGACUCCGUAACUUAGGGAGAAGGAGUGCCUCGAGAGAGGCCGCAGAGAAUAGGCCCAAGCGACUGUUUACCAAAAACACAGGUCUGUGCGAAGUAGAGAUACGACGUAUACGGGCUGACGCCUGCCCAGUGCCGGAAGGUUAAGGGGAAGUGUUAGGGCAACCGAAGCACGGAACUUAAGCCCCGGUGAACGGCGGCCGUAACUAUAACGGUCCUAAGGUAGCGAAAUUCCUUGUCGGGUAAGUUCCGACCCGC
rnacentral:rRNA from 1 species